GACGAACGCUGGCGGCGUGCCUAAUACAUGCAAGUCGAGCGAAGUUUUUCUGGUGCUUGCACUAGAAAAACUUAGCGGCGAACGGGUGAGUAACACGUAAAGAACCUGCCUCAUAGACGGGGACAACUAUUGGAAACGAUAGCUAAUACCGGAUAACAGCAUAAAUCGCAUGAUAUAUGUUUAAAAGUUGGUUUCGGCUAACACUAUGAGAUGGCUGUGCGGUGCAUUAGCUAGUUGGUGGGGUAAAGGCCUACCAAGGCGACGAUGCAUAGCCGACCUGAGAGGGUGAUCGGCCACACUGGGACUGAGACACGGCCCAGACUCCUACGGGAGGCAGCAGUAGGGAAUCUUCCGCAAUGGGCGAAAGCCUGACGGAGCAACGCCGCGUGAGUGAAGAAGGAUUUCGGUUCGUAAAGCUCUGUUGUUAGGGAAGAAUGAUUGUAUAGUAACUAUAUACAGUAGAGACGGUACCUAACCAGAAAGCCACGGCUAACUACGUGCCAGCAGCCGCGGUAAUACGUAGGUGGCAAGCGUUGUCCGGAAUUAUUGGGCGUAAAGCGCGCGCAGGUGGUUUAAUAAGUCUGAUGUGAAAGCCCACGGCUCAACCGUGGAGGGUCAUUGGAAACUGUUAAACUUGAGUGCAGGAGAGAAAAGUGGAAUUCCUAGUGUAGCGGUGAAAUGCGUAGAGAUUAGGAGGAACACCAGUGGCGAAGGCGGCUUUUUGGCCUGUAACUGACACUGAGGCGCGAAAGCGUGGGGAGCAAACAGG
rnacentral:rRNA from 1 species